UUAUUUUUUAUUUUUAUAUUUUUUAUGGUAAAUAUUUUACUCUGUAUUAGUUGGUUUUACUUAUACAAUUGGAUAUUUGGUAUGCUUCUCUGAUUUGGUUUUAAUUUUUGGAUGGCAUUAUUUAUGCCAAUAAAAUAAUAAAUACAAUGGACUCUUUUAAGGUGAAUUUCGUAAAUAUGAUUUAGUGCUCUAAGACCAGACCAAAUUUGUCCCUCUCUUAGUCAAUCUGACUAAUUAUACUUGGAUCAAGAACAAAUAAGCUUCUGAUUUAAUAGCUACUACUGUGAAAAUUGUAUCAAAAUAAUCUAUGGGAAAUGGACUAAAAGAGUAAGAAGAAUAUAUAUGGGAGAUGAUCUUUUCCUUGAAGAUGAGGAUGAGUAUCAUUAAUUUUCCUAGGAUUAACUUAGAAUGUAGCAUUUAGGAUUUUCUUUUGUGGUGUUUUUUGUGUGUGGUAUGCUCUGGUGUUGGCUGCUAUUGCAUUUGUCUUUAUUGCGUGUAUAUGGCUUUUAUUGCACAGCGGCUGUUUCUUUGAGCUCUAAUGUGCACAUGGCUUGUCUUCAAGUAGUCUUAGUAGUAAUCUUUGUAGCAUUGGUAUUUUAUUAUGUUUAUUAUGUGUAUUAUUAUUUUUUUGUGCAUUUAAUUAUUAUUACUCACAAAUUAGCAACAUUACACAAGUGUUGCAUACACAUUAGUAAACAUGUGUUUCUGGUAACUUACAUGUGUGCUUAUGUCCUAGUACCUUGUUUUCUUAGUUUGCCUUGCACAUUUAAGAACUUUGAUUAGAAAGUAAAGGAUACCUAAUACAACAAAAGGGAAAAAAGUUAUACCAACUAGAUAAUAGCCAACAUAAUGAAACAAAAAUCAAAUGAAACCAAAUUGAUAUUUAUUAGCAACAACCAAAACACUGAGGUGGAGUGACUAAUGAGCCUGCAAUCCAUUUCCACAAAUAACACAUUUCCAGAAGUCUAUUUUAACUGAAUAAGAAACUGCAUAGCGUAGACCUAUAGGGAUAGAAACCAUUGAAAGUUCUAUAAGAAUUGCAUAAUGUAUUCCUGUAUGGAUAGAUGUGGAAAGUUUCUUGAAGGAAAUUGAUGUAUCUAUUCUCAAAUAUUUAGAAAUGUCAUCAUCUGAGUUUCUGAUUGGUGCAGAAUUGGCAUGUCUACUUGGUUUUCAAGAAGGAUACUUGUUCCCUGUAUUUCUGUUUUGGCAUUACAUGCAAAAUAUUUAAACCAUGUAUUGUUGAUGUAGAGUAUAUUUUUAUAUGAAGGAUCUUUAGUUGUAUCCGUUACUAGUGUCAAUGGGCUGUAUAAUAUUAAUGCUAAUUUUGAUGCCCAAUUGCAAAAAAAAAAAAAAAAUUAAAACAUUUGCAUGAAUUUGCAAUUUUGUCAAUUUUGGUCUAAUUUUUGAUAAAUUAGUUGCAAUUUUCUCCAUUUGGUCAAAAUUGAAAUAAAAAAAUGCAUUAUAGUACUCACUAGAAUUAAAAGUUCAUUUUUUAAGUAUUUUGUUUUCUCUUUCCCACUCCUCCCCCUUUCAAUCUCCCCAAUGGCUUUUCCCCCUUCCUUUUCUCUCUCGUUCUGAGUCUAACAGUGGCUUCUUGGUUGACACCUCAUAGACUUAUUUCCCCAAUUAAGGGUAGACACAUGGUUAAAACGAUAAAAUGCUUUGGCCUGUUUAGGAAAAUUCUAUUUCUAUCCUCCUUUACGUGGUUAUACUUUGGGGCAUGAAAACAAAACCAAAGAGGCUGUUAAAUGAAGUAACUCACCAUAUUGUGGGCACCAUAUGUUGUACUGUGACAGAACUCUCCUAGUGAUGUUGAUUGAGCUUCUAUCCCAAGCACUCACUUGCAUCCAUUGUCAGCCUUUUUUAUUUUGAGAUCAUGAGAAGAGUAAGGUGGCUUGCUAACUCCUUUUUGAAAGCUUCUUGUUCAGGCAUAUAGCCUCCACCAAAAAAAUCCUUAGUACUAGCCAAACCUUUGAAACAAGAACUGUCAAAGCUGCCAUGGAAAUCUCAACAUAACCACUGUUGAUCAGACUAGUGGUGCCAACCAUGAAUCUCAUUUUUAGGUCUUAACAAGAGAGAAGGUGGUGGGAAGUAGAGAGAAAAAGGGAGGAAGGUGGUGGGAAGUAGAGAGAAAAAGGGAG
rnacentral:misc_RNA from 1 species